UCUAAAGCUCUGUAAAAAAAUGGCGAUUGAGAGAAUCAAAUACCCAUAAGCUAGAAAACUUGCAAAAACGAUUGAGAGACUACAUGUACAGCUUGGAGUAUUUUUACUAUGUUGAAUUCUAGCUUAGACUGUUGCAAAAAUGAAGGAAUGGGUGCUUUAUUAGUUCUUGAUUCACUUGUAUUGACGUAGACUUAUCGAGCAAUUCACUCAAGGGAACCAUUCUAUCUUCUAUUGGUUAUAUCAGGCAAUUUCAUUUUCUGUAAGUUCACAAGUUGUAGAGUUUGCCAAUAGUGGUGUGCAC